rnacentral:miRNA from 1 species
GACGUUGAAUAUCGACGUCAUAAACACCAAAGUUGAUCGUCUUUAUGCGUCGAAUAUCGACGUCAUAAACACCAAAGUUGAUCGUGUUUAUGAGGUCGAAUAUCGACGUCAUCAACAUCAAAGUUAAUCGUGUUUAUGACGUCGAAUAUCGACGUCAUAAACACCAAAGUUGAUCGUGUUUAUGCGCCGAAUAUCGACGUCAUAAACACCAAAGUUGAUCGUGCUUAUGACGUCGAAUAUCGACGUC